CUCCUCUCUCCUCCACUUCCUCCUGCUCCUCUAUCUCCUGCUCCUCCUCCUCCUGCUCCUCCACCUCCUGCUCCUCCUGAAGCUGCAGCUGCAGACGGAUCACUGCCUCCUGUGUUGUCCAGCGUGUCUCCGUGUCUCAUCUUGUGGACUUUAACAGUUGCUGAGCACAAACUGUAGCAUGAAGAGGCUCGUCCCUUCACGACUCGCCUGGACAACAAUGUUUUUAUUCUGAGACUCUGAAUCGUUUCUACACAACGACGCAAACGUGUUUUUAAGAAGCAUUUCUCCCUCGAGGGUUUUCCUAGCUGAAGCUCCUGCAGGACGUUUGGAGCGAAGAUGAUGUGUAAAUAUUUCUGUGUUCACUGGACGCUCACCAGCUGCUGCUGGCUCACCGUUAGCUCGCCCAGCUAAAAGGCUAACUCCUGACAGUUUAUCUUUAGCGCAGCUGAGCUAACUGAUGCUAAAUGACACAUUUAGCAGAGUUAAGCUAACAUGCUAAUUAGGCACACAGCUGCAUCAUAAACCACUCAUAGCUCAUGUUUAGCACGGCUAAGCUAACAUGCUAAUUCGUGAGAGUUCAUGUUUAGCACAGCUAAGCUAACAUGCUAAUUAGUGACGCCACUGCAUUACAAACCAGUCAUAGCUCAUGUUUAGCACGGCUAAGCUAGCAUGCUAAUUGAUGAGAGUUCUUGUUUAGCAUGGCUAAGCUAACAUGCUAGUAAGGGACACAGCUGCGUUAUAAACCACUGAUAGUUCAUGUUUAGCAGAGCUAAGCUAACUGAUACUAAAUUACACAUUUAGCAGAGUUAAGAUAACAUGCUAAUUAGCAACACAGCUGCAUGAUAACCACUCAUAGCUCAUGUUUAGCAUGGCUAAGAUAAUAUGCUAAUUAACGAGAGCUCAUGUUAGCAAAGCUAAGCUAACAUGCUAAUAAGUGACACAGCUGCAUUAUAAAUCACUCAGCUCAUGUUUAGUAUUGCUAAGCUAAGAUGCUAAUUAGUGACACAGCUGCAUUAUAAACCACUCAUAGCUCAUGUUUAGCACGGCUAAGCUAAUAUGCUAAUUAACGAGAGCUUGUGUUAGCAUGACUAAGCUAAGCUAGAGGAGCUGGUUUGUGAUGUCACAGGACUUUCAACAUUUAAUCAGUUUAAAGAGUUUUAUUUCCAAUUUGACAAAUCUGCUCAAAGCUGUUUUAAUAAAAGAUAUCUACAAUUAAUUUAGGUCAAAUUGUUUCUGUAGAUAUUUCAUUGAAUGUUGAAUCUAAAAUGCAGCUAAAAGUCGACACAUUGUAACGAUGUGAAGCUCCGACACGACUCAACGUGUUCCAGAACAAACUGAAGCCUGAAGUUAGUUUCCAGAUCUAUAGGUCCAAAACCUUCAGGUUACAAUCUGGAAAUAAUUUGCAGAAAUCAGUUUUUCUUACUGCUGAUAUUAAUAAUUAAAUCAGUUUUGACUCAGUGGAAUGUAACCAAGUACAUUUACUCCAGUUUACUGCAGUCUUUCCAUUUGAUGUACCUUCAUAUUAUAUUAUAAUUAUUAAUUAAUUAUAUUUCUCCUCUACAUCCAGCUGAAGCUUCAGUUACUUUCUGGUCGAGAUUUAACAUGGGGAGUUUUUCUCCCCACCAGUGCAAUAACAAUAAUAAUAAGAAUUAUUAUUAUUAUUAUUAUUUAAUGUAAAACUGCUGUAUGAUAUCCGUCAUCCUGAAGCUGUCAGACAGAUGCAGUGGAGUCAAAAGUAAAAUAUCGAAAUGUAAAGUAACAUUAAAUGCUCAAAUAAAAGUAAAAGUACCUUGAGUUUGUAUUUAAGUACAAUUCUAAGGUACUCCUACUUUACUUGGGUAUUUCUGUUUCCUUUAGUUACUUCAUCAGGUUGGUAUUUGACAUAAAUAAAUCAAUUUAAAGUGAUUUUAAUAAAUCAAAGCACAUACAAGAAUGUUAGAAUUACAGUAAAAUGCAUCAAUGAUAAUGAUCCAAUAAUACAUUUUGGAUAUAUAAAAUUAUCUGCAGAACGAGUACUUUUACUUUUGAUACAUACAGUAGUAUAUUUUGAUGAUUUUGUACUUUUACUGCAGUGAAGCAAUCUGAUUACUUCUUCCACCUCUGUUGAAAUAUAUUUUGUACAUGUGAAAGUAUAUUUGUGGCGUGUCCGAGCUGAUUGACAGAUCUCUGCAGGGACAUGUUGACAUGGACAGGUGAGCAGGUGAACAGGUGAACAGGUGAACAGGUGAGCUGCUGCUGGUGCAGGUGAGCGUUCAGUGGACGUGUGCAGAGAUUUCUCCACUCUGACUGUAAAUAUGAACAUCAGGUCUUUGUUUCACUUCAAUCAUCAUUUCUGGAUGUUUUUCACUGAUUUGCUUUGUUUUUUUGUCUUUCUGAUGUAAAUAAUAAUAAUAAUAUCUUUAUUUUUGUAUGUUGACACAAGGCUUUGACUUUAUUUACAGUGCAAUGUGGUGCAUGACUCAGUGAGAGUGCACACAGGUUUUAUAUGUAGCUGCUCCAACAUGUCACAGGAAAUACCAAAUAAACCGACGGCUGGCUUUAUACCACCACAA